UUUUACUUCCUCGCUCUUUAUUUAUCCUCAUCCUCUUUCUUUUUUUUUUU
rnacentral:tRNA from 1 species